ACUCAAAUGAAUAGACGGGGGCCCGCACAAGCAGCGGAGCAUGUGGUUUAAUUCGAAGCAACGCGAAGAACCUUACCAGGACUUGACAUCCAAAGAAUCCACAAGAGAUUGAGGAGUGCCCUUCGGGGAACUUUGAGACAGGUGGUGCAUGGUUGUCGUCAGCUCGUGUCGUGAGAUGUUGGGUUAAGUCCCGCAACGAGCGCAACCCUUGUCGUUAGUUGCUACCAUUAAGUUGAGCACUCUAACGAGACUGCCGGGGUUAACUCGGAGGAAGGUGGGGAUGACGUCAAAUCAUCAUGCCCCUUAUGUCCUGGGCUACACACGUGCUACAAUGGCCGGUACAAAGAGACGCAAUACCGCGAGGUGGAGCAAAUCUCUAAAACCGGUCCCAGUUCGGAUUGCAGGCUGCAACUCGCCUGCAUGAAGCUGGAGUUGCUAGUAAUCGUGAAUCAGAAUGUCACGGUGAAUGCGUUCCCGGGCCUUGUACACACCGCCCGU
rnacentral:rRNA from 1 species